UACAGAGGUCCCAAGCGUUGUUCGGAUUCACUGGGCGUAAAGGGCGCGUAGGUGGCCCGGUCAGUUCGUGGUGAAAGCGCGGGGCUCAACCCUGCGUCGGCCAUGAAUACUGCCGCGGCUGGAGCACUGUAGAGGCAGGCGGAAUUCCGCGUGUAGCAGUGAAAUGCGUAGAUAUGCGGAGGAACACCGAUGGCGAAGGCGGCUCACUGGCCCGGAACUGACGCUGAGAUGCGAAAGCGUGGGGAGCAAACAGG
rnacentral:rRNA from 1 species